rnacentral:rRNA from 1 species
GACGAACGCUGGCGGCGUGCUUAACACAUGCAAGUCGAACGGUAAGGCCCUUCGGGGUACACGAGUGGCGAACGGGUGAGUAACACGUGGGUGAUCUGCCCUGCACUUCGGGAUAAGCCUGGGAAGCUGGGUCUAAUACCGGAUAGGACCACUGCCUGCAUGGGUGGUGGUGGAAAGCUUUUGCGGUGUGGGAUGGGCCCGCGGCCUAUCAGCUUGUUGGUGGGGUGAUGGCCUACCAAGGCGACGACGGGUAGCCGGCCUGAGAGGGUGUCCGGCCACACUGGGACUGCGAUACGGCCCAGACUCCUACGGGAGGCAGCAGUGGGGAAUAUUGCACAAUGGGCGCAAGCCUGAUGCAGCGACGCCGCGUGAGGGAUGACGGCCUUCGGGUUGUAAACCUCUUUCAGCACCGACGAAGCGCAAGUGACGGUAGGUGCAGAAGAAGGACCGGCCAACUACGUGCCAGCCGCCGCCGUAA